AUGCAAAUAUUACCAAACACUCCUUCAUCUUUGGUUGCCUGCAUCAAUCGGUGGCAUUCUGGAGUGCAUACUUUUGCUGGACAUGAUGGAGUCAUAAGUGGUUUGCGAAUGGCACAAAGAAGAGAGAUUAAGGAAGGAGAGGGAGAAGUUGAAGAGAGACAGGCAAGAGAGAUUAAGGAGAUGGAUAAGUUGAAGAAAGACAGGUUCUCUCUUCUGUUUGGAGCAUUGGGGAAAUAG